CACGUGCAGAAACCACCUUCUUGACCGUUGGACCCACUAUUGGUCUUGUCCAGUCAAUUUGCCAUUGCCUUCUUUGCAUGCAGGGGAAGUCCCUAACUCACUGAUGGUUUGAGACCCAUCAGCUAUCCUCACCUGGUAUAGCUAGGCAGUUGAAACCAUUCCCGGGGUGUGGCCACUGUCACAUGCUGUGUGACAGCUUCUAGGAACUACAGAGAACAAAACCUUCAGGGGGAGGUAACACUUUUAAAUCUGUGCUUUUUAAAAAAGGAAUGGCAAUGAUCAGUUUAACUUCAUCUAUUAGAG